GAUGAACGCUGGCGGCGUGCUUAACACAUGCAAGUCGAACGAAGCACUUUAUUUGAUUUCCUUCGGGACUGAUUAUUUUGUGACUGAGUGGCGGACGGGUGAGUAACGCGUGGGUAACCUGCCUUGUACAGGGGGAUAACAGUUGGAAACGGCUGCUAAUACCGCAUAAGCGCACGGCAUCGCAUGAUGCAGUGUGAAAAACUCCGGUGGUAUAAGAUGGACCCGCGUUGGAUUAGCUAGUUGGUGAGGUAACGGCCCACCAAGGCGACGAUCCAUAGCCGACCUGAGAGGGUGACCGGCCACAUUGGGACUGGGACACGGCCCAAACUCCUACGGGAGGCAGCAGUGGGGAAUAUUGCACAAUGGGCGAAAGCCUGAUGCAGCGACGCCGCGUGAGCGAAGAAGUAUUUCGGUAUGUAAAGCUCUAUCAGCAGGGAAGAUAAUGACGGUACCUGACUAAGAAGCACCGGCUAAAUACGUG
rnacentral:rRNA from 1 species